rnacentral:rRNA from 1 species
GAUGAACGCUGGCGGCGUGCCUAAUACAUGCAAGUCGAGCGAACAGAUGAGGGGCUUGCUCCUCUGACGUUAGCGGCGGACGGGUGAGUAACACGUGGAUAACCUACCUAUAAGACUGGGAUAACUUCGGGAAACCGGAGCUAAUACCGGAUAAUAUAUUGAACCGCAUGGUUCAAUAGUGAAAGACGGUUUUGCUGUCACUUAUAGAUGGAUCCGCGCCGCAUUAGCUAGUUGGUAAGGUAACGGCUUACCAAGGCAACGAUGCGUAGCCGACCUGAGAGGGUGAUCGGCGACACUGGAACUGAGACACGGUCCAGACUCCUACGGGAGGCAGCAGUAGGGAAUCGUCCGCAAUGGGCGAAAGCUUGACGGAGCAACGCCGCGUGAGUGAUGAAGGUCUUCGGAUCGUAAAACUCUGUUAUUAGGGAAGAACAAAUGUGUAAGUAACUAUGCACGUCUUGACGGUACCUAAUCAGAAAGCCACGGCUAACUACGUG